rnacentral:tRNA from 1 species
GGGGUUGUGGCUCAGCUGUAGAGUGCUUGCCUAGCACGUUCGACUCCCUGAGUUCGAUCCUCAGCACCACA